GCGACCCGGCCGUGGCCGCGCAGAUAGCGAGGUCGCCUGAUAACGCCGACAUCUAUCACUUUAUACUCACAUCACUCACACAUUUCGAUUAAAAUUGUAGUCUGCGAAAACCAUGCAGUAGCAUACGCAUGCGACUCCGGACCGCCAGUGUUUCCGUGACCAGAGACCAGCUGCAGUAGAUAUAUCAUGUAUAAUAAAAUAAAUGAAAGGAGGCUGCAACACAACACCCUAGACUGUGGCACGGCCUGGUCUUGUGAUGGCGCGUCGCCUUGUCGGCCUGCCGCCGAUCCUGCCUCUGCCGAUCACAAUAUGUACACCGAGAGAGGAACACACGCCAAAUGCAAAGUUUAACUUAAUAGGUAACCUUAUCCCAUUUAGAGUUACCUGCAAACUGGGAAGUAGGUACCCACUUAAUUUAUAAAUGUAUAUAUCCUUCCCAGUGCCAAUUUUAUUAUCAAGCAAUGAAAGUACUGUAGGCAGGUGCUAGGAGGAGAUGAUAAAUCUUCCAGUUCUUUCCAGUUUUUUCCAGUUUGUCCACAUAAACUGUGCUAAUUUAUCCAACCACAUAACUUGGUUGGAUAUAUAACGAAAUAUCUAUACUACACAUAUUUACUUGCUAUUUUGUAAACUACUUAGUUGUCAAUAUUUGAAAUCAAAAAUCAAAUCAUUUAUUCAGAAAUUAGGCCUUCACAGGCACUUUUUCACGUCAUAUUCUAAAUUAAAUUAUGUUUACCAAAGCUACAAACUACUAGCAUUUCGGAACGACCACUGCUGAGAAGAAAUUCCGAAAGAAACUCAUUCAAACAGUGUUGGUCCCUAUUAUGCCAGAAGGGCUUACCAUUUUUUUAAAAUAAAUUAAUGACAAAUUAUCUGCGAUAUCCAAUUCGGCAUUGUUGGGUCUGGCGGUGGGUGAACAGAGACAGGUACUCACCAGGAGCAGCGCGCCGCAGCACUGUAGCCUCACAGGUGCGCGCGCGCCGCGGCUCAGGGCUGCGUGACUCGCAUUACCACGCCCGAAUUAUAUGUUGGGUGAGCAAAUGCACUGUAUUUAACGCUCUGGUGACUAUGGAUUAUUUCAGGAUAAACUUAAUAGUUUUUUUAAAUGAUAAAAUAAAUAUAUAUGUUUUUUUUUUGAUAGGUAUAAUGUCGAAAUAGAAGGACGUACGUGCCUACCUACUAUGGAAAUAGUUAUGAUUUUGUUCAGUUAAAUACAGUUGUUUCCCAUGCCUAGAUGUUUUAGGGCGCUGCUAUAACAUAAAACCCCGUACUGUACAGACAUAAUGGAGAUAGAUAUAUCCAUAACCCAUUAAUCCAGUCCAGCAGCGUCCCAUCCACCAAACCCAAACCAACUAAUAUACAUCCUUUCUUAGUAAUAGUUAAUUCUUUAUUGCACUACUAAAUAUUUGCCCCGUGGGAAUUUUGAAAUAAAAUAUAAUAUAUUUUUAAUGGUGAAAUAAUUUUUGAAAUUGGUUCGGUAGUUUCGAAGUUUACCCCCCUCAAACAUACAAACUUCCAAAUGCUUACCUCUUUAUAAUAAUUGUAGUAUAGAUAAAGAAUACACAGGAGUAGAUUUACCAAGAGGUUGCUGAGCAAUGGCGGCCUUAUAAGCGAAUACAACAGGCAACAGGUCAUUUUUUUACACUCAUUUAGCAAGUACUAGCCGCCCGCCCCGGCUUCGGUCGGCUAAAAAUUUGAUAAAUUAAACACCUAAACCUUCCUCAGGAGUCAUACUAUCUAAUGGUGAAAACUGCAUACAAUUCCGUGCAGUCGUUUCUGAGUUUAUCGCGAACAGACAGACAGACGCGGCAGAGGACUUUGUUUUAUAAUAUGUAAGGAUAAUGAUAAGUAUGUGCAUGCAAUAGCUAAUUAACGAAUAAUGUUUAGUCAAAGUAAGAUUGAAGGCCAUUAGGAGAGAUCAGAGGCUGUAGUGUCUGCACUUGCACUUCAUGUUUAUUGGUAUCGUCUAUAGAAAUAGUGAAUCCCAAACACACGUGACAGAUAUUAUCGUAUGGUCGUGUAGUGACAUCCGGGAGGAAGCGGUGUCACUAUGAGUUUGUAUAUUACGAGUAUUGAAUUUGUCACAGAAGUUCCAAUAGGCACACUAGCACUAUUUACCUAUGACCGAUAAGGAGAGUUCCUAUAAUUUUGGGGAAAAGUUUUGUGUAUAUCAGUAACAAGUGUACAAUAUAAAUAUUAAGUGUCGCUCGUGUCACCCCUGGUCGAAGCCGAGAUCACCAAACCAGGCGAAGGCCGGUCGUCGCGCUCCGCACUCGGCGGGCUUCCUGGUUGCUGUACAGCAUUACGCUAUAUACAGACGCCUGCCCGUCAAUUGUCCUGCCUGUACCUCUAAGCAGGCGAUGAUACGGGCGACUGUUCAAUGAAUUAGGACAGCGCGAUGUGCAGUUUGCUCCUCACAACAAAAAUAUUAUAAUGAGCGCUGUCCUCGCAGUGAAUAGUUUAUGUGCUUGUCGUCGGGUGUGGCCCAAAAAUUAGUAUUUUGUGUUAGAACUCCUUAUCUUCUCGCAUCUGUGAUUUGAUUGUUUUGUAUUAGUUCUUACAUAUACUUAGGUACUCAAAAGUAUGUACAUAUUAGGUAAUAUAAAUUUUAAUGUAUGAUUACUCCAAUAAUGUUUAGUCUUACUGAUAAAGUAAUAGGUUAUUUUAUCGGAACCCUCUACAGAGUUACGUUACUGAGUUUACGCUAAUUAAAUCACACGGAGCCCUGUAAAGAGGAUCUAUUAGUUGUAAUUAGAUUAAUUAUGUUUUUGUUUUGAUAAGUUGUUGUUGGUACGAAUAAUUGGCAAAUAUAUACAUAAUGUUUACUCAAUUGAA